CCUACGGGUGGCAGCAGUGGGGAAUAUUGCACAAUGGGGGAAACCCUGAUGCAGCGACGCCGCGUGAGCGAUGAAGUUUUUCGGUAUGUAAAGCCCUUUCAGCAGGGAAGAAAAUGACGGUACCUGACUAAGAAGCACCGGCUAACUACGUGCCAGCAGCCGCGGUAAUACGGAGGGGGCAAGCGUUACUCGGAUUUACUGGGUGUAAAGGGCGCGUAGGCGGGACUGCAAGCCAGAUGUGAAAGCCAGGGGCUUAACCCUGGGACUGCAUUUGAAACUGUAAGGCUAGAGUAUCGGAGAGGCAGGCGGAAUUCUUGGUGUAGCGGUGAAAUGCGUAGAGAUAUGGAAGAACACCAGUGGCGAAGGCGGCCGCCUGGCGUAUUACUGACGCUGAGGCACGAAAGCGUGGGGAGCAAAUAGGAUUAGAUACCCGUGUAGUC
rnacentral:rRNA from 1 species